UCUAAUGGAUCAUCUGCAUCACUCAGGCCUAAGACCUUGGAAUGAAAUUGAUAGUAGAUUUGUGAAGGUAAUUCACCAACUGGCCAAAUGCUCUGUAAUAGGCCUCCACAAUGGUCGCAAAGCACCUUGCAUUUUAUGACGAGGCUCGAUCAAUGAGCGGGUAGUCAUCUGCAAAAAGAAGGUAUAACAAAGGCAACCUCACAGAGGUAGGCCAGUAGGGCUUAAGCUCUGUCC
rnacentral:lncRNA from 1 species